UCACUUUGUCUCUGCACAAUGAACAUUAUCAAAUAUUAUUAAUGUUGUAAAAUAUAUUGUUCAUUGUUAGUUCAUAUUAGCUAAGGCAUUACCAAAUGUUAAGGAAUAAACUCUUAUAGUAAAGUGUUACUAAAUUUUCUUUUACCAUUUCCUUCACAAUGUCUAUUUAUUUCUAUGGCUAACAGAUUUUGUAACAUUUGUAUUUUUUACAGUCUUACCAUUGCUUGUAAGCUGGAUUGGGUAAGAUGGAUCAUCUUUAAAGGCACCAGGAGUUAAGGCAGAUGUGGAGGCACAACGGGUGAUACCAGACACACACCAAGCACAUUAUGUUCGGACAUUCAAUCAUGACAGGAUCCAGGUGGAUGCUGUCCAUUGAGAAAAGAGUUUGUUCAGCGGUUUCUGGAUAGAAUUAAUUCCAAAGAUGGGAAAAAGUGCACAUCCAGACAAGGAGCAAGCAAAAAGACAAGGAACUUGGUGCAGAGAAAAGCUGUGGCCAUUAACCCCCAUGUGAACAGCUUCAUGCAGUCCCUGAUUGAGUUCGAAUGGACGACUUCAAAGUAAAGGCCACUGUGGUCUGUCUGCCACAGUUUAAUGCAUUUAUUUUUAGUGUUAAAUGAAAUUUAAGUAGAAUAUUGAAAACUAUGGGCCAGUGUUCUUUUUACCACAGUGAAAUGUUACCUUUUAGUCGAUGAUGGACUUUAAACUGAAAACUUCAAACUAUGGAACAGUGUUCUAU